UGUCAUGGCAGCCCCCAGUAGGCGAACCUGUCGUGUGCCAUUAGAAGUUGUGUUCGACAGUUGCAUCCCUUGCAGUAUGACGGCUCAACUUAUACCAGAGAGUUGUGCUGUCAAAGAACGGAGUUUGCCAGACAUGUGACCUCUGAACCAGUUCCAAUGAUAAAUUGGCACUUCGCCAGCAUCCUGAAUCCAGCUGAAGGUCCUCCGAAGCUAGGAAAUGUACAACUAUUACCUCCUGCGGUAAACACAUGUACCCCCACUCCUCUUCCUGUGGUGGUCCCCACUCUUGUACCCACCCCAGAGCCUUGGUCUCAGCUGUCUCCAGGGUUGAUCUCUCACCCUGGGGUGGCCAGACCAGUGGCAGAGAACAGGGAGACGCUGGAUAAAGAUGGAGGAUGAGGCCGACCUCUUGACCUACAUACAGGAGGCUCUACAGACAGUGAAGGACAAAUGCAGUGGGCAACUCAAGCUCCCUUGGAAAGUAUGCAACCCAGGCUGCCAGUGAGGUGCUCAACCCAUACUACAGGGUACAUGUGUACUCCUGGAUGAAGGACACACCUCCAGUGUGGGGAAGGACCAUAGCCCCACAAACUCAUCACUUCUCCGUACAGAGUUAUGUCCCUUGGUCUUGCCAGAACACUCUGAUCAUCGGUUCAAAUCCUGGUUCACCCUUAUAAUGUUCCUAGCGUUGUCCGCACCACAAUCUUCCUGGUGGGUUUCACCAAAGUUGUGAUAUCUGAGACUCUCCUGGGCCUUUCCCAAUAAGCAAGCUGCCAAGCUGAUGUGAUAUACUGGAAUAGUGUUGAAAACAGGAUUAAACCCACCUUUCUCUCUCUCUUGUAAGUCUUGAUUAGAGAUGCUGUGGCUUUGAAUGGGUUCAGGGUAUUGGAAUGUAGAUUCAUAACUCUCUGGACCAUGAUGUGGAAAGUGUAAUAUGUUCUAUCUGAACUUGACGGCAAAGGUACAUUGAUAAUUCUCUUGAUGUUGACGUGGAAGAUACAUUUCUUCGCCCCUAGACCUUGACAUACUUUCCGAAACCUCUCUUAAUGAAGCUAUUUCCUUUUACAAGAUGUCAGGUUUGAAAAUAAAUAUUGAUAAAACAAAAGUAGUAUGGCUAGGAUCAAUGGCAGGUAGUAAAAUAGUCCUAUCCCAGGACUAUAACAUGGAUUGGCAUAAUGAGAAUUUCAAAGUAUUGGGAAUCAAAUUAAAUGCUCAUUUAGAAAACGUAUGGGUAAUUAAUACAAAGCAGAGACUCGAAAAUAUAAAAAGAAUUCUACUGAAUUGGAAAAGACGCAAUUUAAAGUUGAUAGGGAAAAUAACCGUCGUUAAAAGUUUAGCUUUAUACACGAUUGUCCACAUCUUCUCUUCUCUCCCUAAUCCCCCAAAAACAUUUAUUACUGAUUUGAACAGAUUAUUCUUCAAAUUUAUAUGGAAUGAUAAAAUUGAUGAAAUAAAACGAAUUAAUUUAGUACGAAGGUACGAAGAAGGUGGUCUAAGAAUGGUCCACGUGAAAACCUUUAUCGACUCUUUAAAAGUUUCAUGUUUGAAGAGAUAUAUUUCAAAACCUAAGAACUAUGCUCUCGCCGGUUUCACUCUACAAAACCUUCUUUUUUUAGGAGCCAACAUCACAAAACAUUAUAAUAUUAAAAAUCCAUUUUGGAAAGAUUCUCUUGAUGCCUGGCAUAGAUAUGUUAAAAGAUCGGUAUGUAACAAUAACGACAUUAAUGAAAUACUCAUGCAGCCACUAUGGUUAAAUCACCAGUGUAACCAGCCAAGUUUGAUCAUUCAUAACUGGAUUAAAUGUGGAAUAGUUUAUAUUAAAGAUAUUUGUAACGACCACACAUUUCUAACAUUUGCAGAACUUAAGGCAAAAUUUGGUAUUAAAGGUACUGUACUUGACUUUAAUCGUGUUCUCCUUAGUAUACCCAAACAGAGGAAAGAAGUUAAAUGAACAAACAACAAUUUUAAUAUACCGUCGUUAUCUAUGUGCUCUCCUUCGAAUGAUUUGAUUCAACCUAGUAAAGGUUCAAGGAUAUUCUAUGAUAAUUUUAUAUCUGACUAUAACAUUCCGAAGGUGUGUCUCAAAUGGACGGGGAACUAAAUGAGUUGAUAAAUUGGAAAACCAUAUUUUCACAAAAAAAUAUAGACAAUGCACUAAAGACACGAAACUCUUAGAUUUUCAAUAUAAGUUUUUGCAUAGAGUCAUUUACACUAAACGAGAUUUACUAAAAAUGAAAUUGAUAGAUAAUGACCUGUGUACAUUAUGUGGUUCAGUAAGUGAGGAUAUUUACCAUGUUUACCUUGAUUGUCCCACCAUUAAAAUGUUCUGGUCAGAAAUUAACAAUUUUAUAACUCAAGUCCUUGGUAAAACGUAUGAAAUGUCAAAUCAUGAUAUUCUAUUUUGUUGCAGUAGUAACCACUUACUCACAUGAUACUAUUGGCAAAGCGCCACAUUUUCAUAAUGAAUAUAAAAGGACCCAAACGUAGCUUCUCCAUCUACAGACCAUUAUUAAAAGAUGUCUACGAGAUAGAGAAAUUUAUUGAGAAGCAAAACGAUAAUAUGAAACAUUUUUACAGAAAAUGGAAUGACCUAGAUGCAGUCCUGUAAUUUAUUUUUUAGUCUUUUAACUCUCGGUAACAUUAGCUAGCAUCUCAAUUGUUAAUCUAUAUUCCCAGUACCAUAUGUUAUACAUUGUCUGCUUUCUAUUAUGCAACCUGUACCAUUCUACUCUACCCACAUAUCUUGUUCAAAUGUUACCAAGUAAAGUGAAUAAAAAUACUUUACAAAAAAAA
rnacentral:lncRNA from 1 species